rnacentral:pre_miRNA from 1 species
ACUCUAACACGGCGGCACUUGCUGUGGCUUUUUGGAAAUUAAGUGCUUCCAUGUUUGAGUGU